rnacentral:lncRNA from 1 species
UGGCGAUAAAGGUUAUCUCUAAUAGUCUGUUGUAGAUCGUGAUCCGGCGAUCCUUUCUGAAACCUCUGGUUGAGAUAAUGUCUCAGGUCUUUGUUCAGUCUGCUUCCUUGUCUGACGGCUUUCACCACGAUGGGCUCCUUGCAGCUCCGGAUCACCUCCAGCACGUCGUAGCGCGGCAGCCCGGAGACGCGCACCCCCUGCACCUCCAGCAGCAGCUCCCCCUCGCUCAGCGCCUGCUCGCCGCCUCCCGCCGCCACCGCGCCCGCGUAGGGGAACUCGCCGUGCUCCGCGCCGCCCAGCAGGACGAAGCCCAGCUGCCCGCCGGGCCCGCGGCUCAGCACGCACUGCCGCACCCGGCUGGCCCAGUGGUUCUUCUUCUGGACGACCCGCGACAUGGCGCUGCGCGGCUCUCCGCGCUCGCGGCGGCGCGUUAAGCAGGUGCGCAGGGGCUCCGACCCGCUGCUUCAUAGACCGCUCUGCGCCGCCCGCUCACAGCCAUCACCGCCGGCGCCGCGCCCGCAUGGCUCCGCGCCCGCGGAUGGGACUUGAAAAGAAAUAACAGAAAAGAAAAGAAAAAAAAAAAAACUAAAAGAAAAAGAAUUAAAAACG